rnacentral:tRNA from 1 species
AUUCUAUUAGUAUAUAUAGUAUGUUUAACUUCCAAUUAAAAGGUUUAUUAGUUAAAUAGAAUA